rnacentral:rRNA from 1 species
AUGCUUCAUGAGAAGGAAGACAAGUGUCAAGCAAACGUCACAAGUGGUGUAUGUUAUUCUGUAAUUGGCAUUCAUGGCAUGGCUGGGGCAGGGGAGAUGUUUGAGGGGGCUACAGGAAAAGCAUGCCCGAAAUUCACAAGUCUUAACGUCCUGAAACAAAAACUGGAGGAGGAACUGCGUGGGAAAAGGAUUUUGUUGGUACUGGAUGAUGUCUGGUACAACAACAAGAAUUCGGGAGACCGUGAAGACCUACAGAAGUUAAUUUCUCCGGUGAAUCUUGGGAAGGCAGGAAGCAGAAUCUUGGUGACAAGUCGAACUGAAGCUGCAUUAGUAACCCUUGGUGCUGCAAAAGAGAGAUGUAUUCCAAUAUCUAACCUGGGCGAUGAAGUGUUCCUUGAAAUGUUUAUGCACUAUGCACUUCGAGAUGCAAGGCCAGAACAGUGGGUUCACGGGCUCCGUGAGACACAAACUGUUGAGUUUUGGAGGAGUCAGAAAGAUCGGGACCUUAUGAACGACACAAUGGGAGCUCUAUGGUGGAGCUACCAGUAUCUUGAUGAGCAGGUCAGGCGAUGCUUGGCUUACUGCAGUAUUUUUCCCAGGCGACAUAAGUUGAGACGUGAUGAGUUAGUUAAGUUGUGGGUGGCAGAAGGGUUUAUAAAGACUAGUAAGCCUGAAGAGGAAAUGGAAGAUGUUGCUAAAAAUUAUUUUGAUGAAUUGCUGUCGGCCUCAUUUCUGCAACUAGGAGGGAAAGAAACACAGUUUGUUGAACUUGAUGGUGAGGUUGAUUACUUUACCAUUCAUGAUCUGCUCUGUGAUUUAGCGGAAGAGGUUUCUGGAAGCGAUUGCUUGAGGAUUGAGAAAGGCUUCACAGGGGAAGUUCCUCAAGAUGUUCGUUAUCUUUUUGUUGGGACUUAUGAUGAAGAGAUGCUUACUGAGAAGAUUUCUGGAUUGAAACAUUUACGCACUCUCAUCAUCAAUGACAUCAUAUGGCUUAAAUCAGAUGGGUCUGAACUCUUAGCGAGUAUGUUCACUAUGUUGAAAGGGCUGCGGAAAUUGCGGGUACUGAAUAUGACAGUAGCACGUGAGAGGAGGAGUGGAUUUGGUUUUUCAUUCUCAUUCCCGGAUUCUAUUGGUCAGUUGAAGCAUCUGCGUUAUUUUGGUUUCAUGGUUCCAGUAGCUCACAAGCUAACUGUACCCAGCGCUUUUACCAAGCUUUACCACAUGCAGGUGGUAAAUUUCGGUUCUACCAAAUUAUUGGAGUUUUCUAGUGGUAAAGAUAUGAUGAACCUUGUCAAUUUGCGCUGUGUAAUGAGCUGGACAGAUCUUGAUUUUCCUAAUGUUGGCAGGCUGAAAUGGCUCCAAAACUUACCAUACUUUACAAUAAAGAAGAAACAGGGGUAUGAGUCACAUCAGCUGAAGCACCUAAACAAGCUUCAAGGCAAAGCUGCAUAUCCAAGUCUAGAAGUUCAAGCAGAGGUUCUCGAGGGUCUUUGCACAUCGAAGUAUCUUGAAAGACUAGAAAUCAGGGAUUACCAUGCUAAGAGGAUACCGAGUUGGCUGAUGCGUGAGCAUAAUGGCGGCCCAAAGAACCUGCACACACUUAGAGUUGACGGAUGGAGCCAACUGGGACCUGCCCCUGACCUUGGGGCCUUCAUUCAUCUUCAUUCGCUAGUUUUUCAUAACUGCAGCUGGGAUACCUUACCAGGCGACAUGGAUCACCUCGCAUCACUCAAGAAACUAGAGAUCUGGAUAUGCAAGAAUAUGCGGUUGCUUCCAAUGCUGCCCAAGUCUCUUGAGGAGUUUAAAGUCAGGGGAUGCAGCCGGGAUGCCUGGGAUACCUUACCAGGCAAUAAUAUGGAGCACCAGCUCCCAUUGCUCAGGAAACUAGAGAUCAGGGAAUGCGAGAAUAUAAAAUCACUACCAACGCUGCCAAAGUCUCUUGAGGAGUUUAGAGUCGAGGACUGCAGCUGGGAUGCCUUACCAGGCAAUAUGGAGCACCUCACAUCACUCAAGAUGCUGAAUAUACAGUCAUGCAAGAAUAUACGGUCGCUUCCAACACUGCCCAAGUCUCUUGAGGAGUUUAGAGUCGAGAACUGCAGCUUUGAUGCCUUACCAGGCAAUACGGAGCACCUCACAGCGCUCAAGAAACUGGAGAUCAGGUCAUGCAAGAAUAUACGGUCGCUUCCAACACUGCCCAAGUCUCUUGAGGAGAUUACAGUCAAGCGGUGCAGUGAUGAGUUCAUACGAUCCUGUAGAACGGCUGGUGAUCCAAAUUGUCAAAAGAUUGAGCACAUUCCAAAUAGAACAUUUAAUUAA